rnacentral:rRNA from 1 species
GAUGUUGGGUUAAGUCCCGCAACGAGCGCAACCCUUGUCUUUAGUUGCCAUCAUUAAGUUGGGCACUCUAGAGGGACUGCCAGGGAUAACCUGGAGGAAGGUGGGGAUGACGUCAAAUCAUCAUGCCCCUUAUGCUUAGGGCUACACACGUGCUACAAUGGGUAGUACAGAGGGUUGCCAAGCCGUAAGGUGGAGCUAAUC